rnacentral:rRNA from 1 species
UACGUAGGGACCAAGCGUUGUCCAGAAUCAUUGGGCGUAAAGAGCGUGUAGGCGGCUUGUUAUGUCUUGCGUGAAAUCUCGGGGCUCAACCCCGAGCGGUCGUGAGAAACUGGCAGGCUAGAGUGCGGGAGAGGAGAGUGGAAUUCCUGGUGUAGCGGUGAAAUGCGCAGAUAUCAGGAAGAACACCCGUGGCGAAGGCGGCUCUCUGGAACGCAACUGACGCUGAGACGCGAAAGCGUGGGGAGCAAACAGG